rnacentral:rRNA from 1 species
UUGAGAGAAGAAGAGAGAAGACGUAGGGGGCGAGCGUUACCCGGAAUUACUGGGCGUAAAGGGGGCGUAGGCGGUAAAAGAAGUCAUCUGUGAAAACCUAUUGCUCAACGAUAGGCUAGCGGAUGAAACUGAAUUACUUGAGGGCACCAGAGGUAGACGGAAUUACCCGAGUAGGGGUGAAAUCCGCAGAUACGGGUAGGAACGCCGGUGGAGAAGUCGGUCUACUGGGGUGCACCAGACGCUGAGGCCCGAAAGCUAGGGGAGCAAACCGGAUUAGAUACCCGGGUAGUCCUAGCCGUAAACGAUGCUCACUAGGUGUAGGGAGUGACAAACUCUCUGUGCUGAAGCGAACGCGCUAAGUGAGCCGCCUGGGGAGUACGUCCGCAAGGAUGAAACUCAAAUAAAUUGGCGG